rnacentral:rRNA from 1 species
CACGGGGGGAGCAAGCGUUAUUCGGAAUCACUGGGCUUACAGAGUCCGUAGGCGGCUCGGAAAGUUGGGCGUGAAAUACCUCAGCUCAACUGAGGAAUUGCGCUCAAAACUUCCGAGCUGGAGAGAGACAGAGGUGAGCGGAACUGAUGGUGGAGCGGUGAAAUGCGUUGAUAUCAUCAGGAACACCGGUGGCGAAGGCGGCUCACUGGGUCUUUUCUGACGCUGAGGGACGAAAGCUAGGGUAGCGAACGGG